UACGGGGGGGGCAAGCGUUGUUCGGAAUUACUGGGCGUAAAGGGCGCGUAGGCGGUUCGCUAAGUUGGAUGUGAAAACUCUGGGCUUAACCCAGAGCCUGCAUCCAAAACUGGCGAACUGGAGUACUGGAGGGGAAAGCGGAAUUCCUGGUGUAGCGGUGAAAUGCGUAGAUAUCAGGAGGAACACCGGUGGCGAAGGCGGGUCUCUGGGCCGAUACUGACGCUGAGGAGCGAAAGCGUGGGGAGCGAACAGG
rnacentral:rRNA from 1 species